GCCCCUGUAGCUCAAUGGAUAGAGCACCGGACUUCUAAUCCGGCGGUUGUGCGUUCGAGUCGCGCCAGGGGCG
rnacentral:tRNA from 1 species